UACGUAGGGACCAAGCGUUGCUCGGAAUCACUGGGCGUAAAGGGUGCGUAGGCGGGUCUUUAAGUCAGGGGUGAAAUCCUGGAGCUCAACUCCAGAACUGCCUUUGAUACUGAAGAUCUUGAGUCCGGGAGAGGUGAGUGGGAACUGCGAAGUGUAGAGGGUGAAAUUCGUAGAUAUCGCAAGAACACCCGUGGCGAAGGCGGCUCUCUGGGACGGUACUGACGCUGAGACGCGAAAGCGUGGGAGCGAACAGG
rnacentral:rRNA from 1 species